rnacentral:rRNA from 1 species
GACAGAGGUGCCGAGCGUUAGGCGGAAUCACUGGGCUUAAAGCGUGUGUAGGCGGACUUCUAAGUACCUUGUGAAAUCCCACGGCUCAACCGUGGAACUGCUCGGUAUACUGGUUGUCUUGAGCCACUUAGGGGCAGUCGGAACAAACGGUGGAGCGGUGAAAUGCGUAGAUAUCGUUUGGAACGCCAAUGGUGAAAACAGGUAGCUGGGGAUGUGCCGACGCUGAGACACGAAAGCCAGGGGAGCAAACGGG